rnacentral:SRP_RNA from 1 species
GCUGGGUGUGGUGGCUCACACCUGUAAUCCCAGCACUUUGGGAGGCCGAGGUGGGCGGAUCACCUGAGGUCAGGAGUUCGAGACCAGCCUGGCCAACAUGGUGAAACCCCGUCUCUA